rnacentral:rRNA from 1 species
GACAGAGGGUGCAAGCGUUGUUCGGAAUUACUGGGCGUAAAGCGAGUGUAGGCGGUCUGCUAAGUCGGGUGUGAAAGCCCCGGGCUCAACCCGGGAAGUGCACUCGAAACUGGCAGGCUAGAGUAUCGGAGAGGUUGGUGGAAUUCUCGGUGUAGAGGUGAAAUUCGUAGAUAUGCAGAGGAACACCGAUGGCGAAGGCAAUCCCCUGGGCCUGCACUGACGCUCAUGCACGAAAGCGUGGGGAGCAAACAGG